rnacentral:sRNA from 1 species
GCCAGGUGUGGUGGCGCGCUCCUGUGAUCCAAGCAUCUCGAGAGAGGAGGCUGAGGCAGGAGGAUAACAAGUUUGAAGCCAGCUUCUGCCAUUCAGCAAAGCUGAAAGGCAUCUUAGCAAGACCCUGUCUCUC